ensembl:lincRNA
AUGAGGAAAACCCUCGGUUUACAGUCAGCAGCCUCAGGCCACCGCCUUUGUCGUUACUCAGGUUUGAACUGGCAGGCAGGCACCCUCAAACCCACCUGCCAGAUGGCAACGACCACACCCACUUCACCAAGUGUCGCGGACACUAAACAGGGCAGUGUGGAAAACACACGUUGGUUCUGUUGCAGCUCAAUCAUUCGGUUUAUCUUUAGAGCAGAAGAAGAUUCUGGGAUGAACGUCUGGGGCUGGAGAUUCAAAACAACCAUAAGUUCCUGUAAUGUUCAAUUUUGGUUUGAAGCAAUGGCUGAAAGACAAACUGCUUUCCAACAGGUCUUCCAUGAGAGCUGGGAGAAGGCCACUGACACAGCUAUGGCACGGUGGACAGAGGACAGGAGCUGGAGACCUGCAGACCCUGGCUUUAGUCAAAACAACAGACUUUGAAAAUGGUUCUGGACAAAGCGGAAGUCAAGCACAGAUUAUUUCUGCUUCAUUUGCUGGGAAGGCAUGGGCGCAUCAGCCUAGACAGGUCAAUUAGGAGGAUCCACAGGGCGGGAAGGAACCUGAGGCCACCCUGCAAGGUGCUCGUCACCAAGACCCACCGUCCCGACCCUGCAGAAAGGCAGUCUGCAGAUCAGACUCUCAGGUGAGUCACUAAACCCAAGGCUAUCACGAGAAAAUGCCCACAGAAAGCUCACCUUCACAGUCCCCCAACAUUUCCAGAAAAGUCAUAUUAACAUUUUACUGCCUCAAAAUGAUAGUAUUAAACAAAAGAGGGACACAGAUUUUAUCUUGAAGACCAGGUAGAGGAGACACACAAUUCAUGGCAGUGUGCCAAGCGACAGGACCGGAGAUCAGGACCCAGGAUAGCAGGUCCAGCUUGGAGUUUCCGAUGGCCCAGGACAGGGCGCAGACAUCCACCCGACACCCAGACUGCCAGGGCUGUGGCGGGCUCCGAUGCUUCUGCUCCGCUCUCCCAGCUGCUGUGCACGCACCAGCCCUGCCCAAUACCACUGCCCUUUCAGGUUUCUUUGCAGCUCAAAGUCUGGAGAAUGAGCCAGUUUUCUUAUCUAUACGACGGAACUGUCCCUUGUGCCCUACAGUUGCCAGCCGCAACAAUCCUGCCAAGUGAGACAAAAGCUCCUCAGGCUGCGAAGCUGGAACGUGCUGGUUCUGAAGUAACUACAGUGACGGAAGGGGACAGGCACAGAAGAGACAGACACACGGUGUGCGUCUACUCAAAGGCGGGCUCCAUCAGAGCCACAGUGCUGGACUUCCCAGUGCUGCUCAGUGAGUGCUGAGGUCUGGAAAACCUGCCCAUUUUCUGCCGGUUUCUAUUCCCUGGUCUCUGAAUCAGUCAUUUGGAAGGUGCAUAAAGUAAUAUCGUUUGAGUCUCCAAAAUAGUCUGUAUUGCAGCUCUUAAAAAUGUAACCUUUAAGUGAACACACAAAUAAAUACAUCACAUACCUGACACGAAGACAUUGAGAUUUUAAUGUUGCCCAAUCCUACAAGUACUCCACAUGUUUACUUUCAUAAAUCCUAGAGUAAUGUUGAAUCCUUUCUGGCUUAAAUUUUACUUGGGUUGUAAAAUUAACCCAACUUUUAUUGGGUAACUAAUACCAUAAACCUAUGGGGAAAACGAAUGUUCUCCACGACCUAGGUUUUGAUGCUAGAAACUUCAGUGCAGGGACCAGAGCCUGCCCCAGCGGUGCCCCUGCGAUCACAGACCCGGCUCUUCUGUCCCCCGCAUUAGCAGAGCCCCGAUGUUUAAGGUGUCACUAUGAGAACCCUUUCUCCUCCCCACAUUAAACCUGCAAGGCCUGGAUUUAUACCUCCUGGGAGGACGAAACCCUGGAGUUACCCCCAGAUAUAAAUCUCCAACCUACUGGGAGACCCCGUAUUUUAUGUGCGAGGCGUAGGCUAAACUUCUUACCACCUUUUCCAUUCAGGACUUUCCUUCUAGGACUCUGAAACUGUUUUUCCCAGAAUAAAAGGGAAAGCAAUUCUUUGGCCACCCAUUUCUUAGCAAGGGCUUAGAGCUACAGGUGCAUUGAAUUUUUGACUCUGCCUGGAAUUCCUGCUGUCCUGAUCACUCUCCUGGAAACAGAUGUUAAAU